GAUCAUUAUUGUACAACGGAGGUGUGAGGGCUGUCGCUGACCUUCAAAGGUCGUGCACGCCCAAGCACUUUCAUACAAUCCAUCUCACCCCUUUGUGCAUCACCGCGUGGGUCCCCCUUGCGGGAGGGCUCGCGUUUUCACAUAAAACUCGAUACAGUGUAGAAUGUUCUUUUGCGAUCACACGCAAUCAAUACAACUUUCAACAACGGAUCUCUUGGCUCUCGCAUCGAUGAAGAACGCAGCGAAAUGCGAUACGUAAUGUGAAUUGCAGAAUUCAGUGAAUCAUCGAAUCUUUGAACGCACCUUGCGCCCCUUGGCAUUCCGAGGGGCACACCCGUUUGAGUGUCGUGAAAUCCUCAAAAASCCUUUUCCUGUCAGGAAUGGGAUUUUUGGACUUGGAGGUUCAAUGCUUGCCUUUCACUUUUGAAAGUGAGCUCCUCUCAAAUGAAUUAGUGGGGUCCGCUUUGCUGAUCCUUAACGUGAUAAGAUGCUUCUACGUUUUGGAUCUAGCACUGUCCCUUGGAYGCCUGCUCCUAACUGUCCCACACGGACAAUGAUGGUGCUCUGGUCACCGCCAUCUACAUUGGCGGGAGGCUGGACCCACAAAACGAAAACCUUGACCUCAAAUCGGGUGAGACUACCCGCUGAACUUAAGCAUAUCAAUAAGCGGAGGAAAAGAAA
rnacentral:sRNA from 1 species